ensembl:lincRNA Gm42654 predicted gene 42654
GUGAGGAAAUUAGUCCUCUGUGAGGUGACCAGUCCUCUGUGAGUUGUCCCAUUUUCAGUGAGGUGUCCAGGCCUCUGUCAGAUGAUCAGGCCUCUGUGAGGUGACCCAGUCCUCUUUGAGGUGUCUCGUCCUCUGUGAGGUGACAAGGCCUCUGUGAUGUGACCAGCCCUCUGUGUGUUGACCAGUCCUCUGUGGAGGCAUACCUUCUUUCCCAGCUGCCAUUCUGUUCCAUGGAUGAUGCUGGCAAGUCCCAAACCCUCUCCAGCUAUCAAGAUGAACACCUUGCAGAAGAAAGAAGUCUGCCGCAGAGAAAGACGACUGGACGGGGCAGCUGGGAAGGGUUCUUACCACCAAGCCUGAGGCCCAAGUUUGAUCCCUAAAGCUCACACAGCAAAAGGAGUGGAACGGCUCCUGAAAGCUACCCUCUGACCUCUAUCUUAUGUCUCCUUCACAAAGAAACAAAUCAAGAUAAAUAAAUAAAUGUAUGCAGUUUU